UAAGGUAGAGGUGCGAUUUUUAUCAGUAACAAUAAGGAGUUAAGCAACGUUGAUUUAUUGUGAAAGGAAACAUCGCCGAAGCGUAUAACUGAAGCUUUAAGGUUAUUUGGCUGGGGGUAUAUAUAAUAUAUAUGCCACUGUCACUAAGAAAUUAGUGUUGAGCUAUCA
rnacentral:ncRNA from 1 species